rnacentral:rRNA from 1 species
UACGUAGGCAGCGAGCGUUGUUCGGAGUUACUGGGCGUAAAGAGUGCGUAGGCGGUUUUCUAAGUUUGGUGUGAAAUCUCCCGGCUUAACUGGGAGGGUGCGCCGAAAACUGGAAGGCUUGAGUAUGGGAGAGGUAAGCGGAAUUCCUGGUGUAGCGGUGAAAUGCGUAGAUAUCAGGAGGAACACCUGCGGUGUAGACGGCUUACUGGACCAUAAACUGACGCUGGAGGCACGAAAGCGUGGGUAGCAAACAGG